rnacentral:rRNA from 1 species
CCUACGGGUGGCAGCAGUGGGGAAUAUUGGACAAUGGGCGAAAGCCUGAUCCAGCCAUGCCGCGUGUGUGAAGAAGGCCUUCGGGUUGUAAAGCACUUUCAGUGGGGAAGAAAGCCUUGGGGCUAAUACCCUCGAGGAAGGACAUCACCCACAGAAGAAGCACCGGCUAACUCCGUGCCAGCAGCCGCGGUAAUACGGAGGGUGCGAGCGUUAAUCGGAAUUACUGGGCGUAAAGCGCGCGUAGGCGGUCUGAUAAGCCGGUUGUGAAAGCCCCGGGCUCAACCUGGGAACGGCAUCCGGAACUGUCAGGCUAGAGUGCAGGAGAGGAAGGUAGAAUUCCCGGUGUAGCGGUGAAAUGCGUAGAGAUCGGGAGGAAUUCCAGUGGCGAAGGCGGCCUUCUGGACUGACACUGACGCUGAGGUGCGAAAGCGUGGGUAGCAAACAGGAUUAGAUACCCUGGUAGUC